AAGAACUUAGGAUAACCAAACCAAAAGCCUUCAAAGCUUUAAAUAAGGGUUUAACCCCUUAGUUUUU
rnacentral:tRNA from 1 species